rnacentral:rRNA from 1 species
AUUGAACGCUGGCGGCAUGCUUUACACAUGCAAGUCGAACGGCAGCGCGGGCUUCGGCCUGGCGGCGAGUGGCGAACGGGUGAGUAAUGCAUCGGAACGUGCCCAGUAGUGGGGGAUAGCCCGGCGAAAGCCGGAUUAAUACCGCAUACGCCCUGAGGGUGAAAGCGGGGGACCGAAAGGCCUCGCGCUAUUGGAGCGGCCGAUGUCGGAUUAGCUAGUUGGUGGGGUAAAGGCUUACCAAGGCGACGAUCCGUAGCUGGUCUGAGAGGACGACCAGCCACACUGGGACUGAGACACGGCCCAGACUCCUACGGGAGGCAGCAGUGGGGAAUUUUGGACAAAGGGGGCAACCCUGAUCCAGCCAUGCCGCGUGCGGGAAGAAGGCCUUCGGGUUGUAAACCGCUUUUGUUCGGGAAGAAAUCCUCUGGGCUAAUACCCCGGGGGGAUGACGGUACCGGAAGAAUAAGCACCGGCUAACUACGUG